rnacentral:lncRNA from 1 species
UAGGAGCAAGGGGUAGCUCCGAACCACUAUAAAACUCUGUGUUUGCAUUGGAUUGUCUCUUCUCUUCUUCCUCUCACAUCACUCACAGCACUUAGCAUUAAUUAAAUAACUUGCAAUAGUUUUUAAUUAAUCAUCCUUAAAGUUUUAAAUAUCUAAAUUAAUUUAAAACCCAAUUCACCCCCCCUCUUGGGUUGUCUAUC